rnacentral:rRNA from 1 species
UGGGGAAUUUUGGACAAUGGGCGAAAGCCUGAUCCAGCAAUGCCGCGUGUGUGAAGAAGGCCUUCGGGUUGUAAAGCACUUUUGUCCGGAAAGAAAUCCUUGGCUCUAAUACAGUCGGGGGAUGACGGUACCGGAAGAAUAAGCACCGGCUAACUACGUGCCAGCAGCCGCGGUAAUACGUAGGGUGCAAGCGUUAAUCGGAAUUACUGGGCGUAAAGCGUGCGCAGGCGGUUUGCUAAGACCGAUGUGAAAUCCCCGGGCUCAACCUGGGAACCGCAUUGGUGACUGGCAGGCUAGAGUAUGGCAGAGGGGGGUAGAAUUCCACGUNUAGCAGUGAAAUGCGUAGAGAUGUGGAGGAAUACCGAUGGCGAAGGCAGCCCCCUGGGCCAAUACUGACGCUCAUGCACGAAAGCGUGGGGAGCAAACAGGAUUAGAUACCCUGGUAGUCCACGCCCUAAACGAUGUCAACUAGUUGUUGGGGAUUCAUUUCCUUAGUAACGUAGCUAACGCGUGAAGUUGACCGCCUGGGGAGUACGGUCGCAAGAUUAAAACUCAAAUAAUUGACGGGGUCAUAGCUGUUUCCUG